rnacentral:rRNA from 1 species
AUUGAACGCUGGCGGCAGGCUUAACACAUGCAAGUCGAGCGGGGUGAUGGUGCUUGCACUAUCACUUAGCGGCGGACGGGUGAGUAAUGCUUAGGAAUCUGCCUAUUAGUGGGGGACAACAUCUCGAAAGGGAUGCUAAUACCGCAUACGUCCUACGGGAGAAAGCAGGGGAUCACUUGUGACCUUGCGCUAAUAGAUGAGCCUAAGUCGGAUUAGCUAGUUGGUGGGGGAAAGGCCUACCAAGGCGACGACCUGUAGCGGGUCUGAGAGGAUGAUCCGCCACACUGGGACUGAGACACGGCCCAGACUCCGACGGGAGGCAGCAGUGGGGAAUAUUGGACAAUGGGGGGAACCCUGAUCCAGCCAUGCGGCGUGUGUGAAGAAGGCCUUAUGGUUGUAAAGCACUUUAAGCGAGGAGGAGGCUCUUUUGGUUAAUACCCAAGAUGAGUGGACGUUACUCGCAGAAUAAGCACCGGCUAACUCUGUGCCAGCAGCCGCCGUAA